AAAAGCUAGGUUCUGAGUUGAAAAAAAAAAAGAAAAAAAGAAAAAAAAAAGAAAGGGAAGAAGAUGAACUAGGUCGAAAUUGCCUAAAAAAUUUAAGAAAAAUGAAGAUUUGAGUGAACUGCCGCUGAAGGAUAGGAAAUGGAAGUGAGAGGGGUCGCAACUUGAAUGUACAAUAACAAAGCACCAUACUUAAGGAAGGAUUGAUUGUUGAUAUAGGAUACUUCUCUUGACAAACAAACUUGUAUGCACACCUUAUCGCCGUUGAGAUUAGAUUUUUUUUUUAUGAUUAGAUUCAUACGGAUUGAUCAUGUACUUUAUAUGCGUUUACUGAAAAGGGAUUUCAUACAUUUUUUAUGAAUAAGAUGAUUUGGAUUCGUGGAA